GUUAGCCAGGAGAGUCUCCAUCUCCUGACCUCGUGAUCCACCCACCUCGGCCUCCCAAAGUGCUGGGACUACAGGCGUGAGCCACCGUGCCUAGCCUAACAAUCCUUUUCAUUUUGUUUUACGGUUUAUAAACUGCUAGCACUUUUUAGCUAUUUGAUCUUGAGAAACCCAGUAAGAUAAACAGGAAAAGUACUAACAGAUGUGUGAUCCACGUAAACGGUGCCCUUCCUGCCCAUUACAGGGAGAAAGAUCCACUGAGAAAUCAGGCCGUGAACAGGGCUGGAGUCUCAAGAGGUAUUGACUUGGUGGAGUCUCUGUGGACUCGGCUCUCUCCCAAACACAGUUCCUGGAAGAACAGGAAUUGGGGUUCUUUUGUGCAUUGGCACUUUGUGAAACCUUUGAGGGAGGGUAAUGCUGGAGGGAAAUGUGAAUUCUCUAGGUGGCUGUGUCUAAAUUACCUUAAAGGAGAGCCAUUGUAACUUUUUCUUACGGUGUGAAAGGAAGUGCUCGUGACCAUUUUCUAAAGAUGUGCACUGGUCGAUUUUUUCUCAUGUGCUGUCAUCUAUUUAAUACCUCCACAGGGUUAUCCUUCACAGCCCUGUUGAUAACAUUUUCCAUUAUUCAUCCCUGCUGCUACUAGCUUCAUCCGAGCCUGUGUUGUUUCUGGCCUAAUAACAGCACCAGCCUCCUUGCUGCCAUUCCCUCCCUUCAGCUGGGCUUCCUUCCAGUCCAUCCUUGGCAUUGCUACUGCAGUCAUCUUUCUAAUCAGGCCACUGCCCUGCCGAAAGCCUCCUGCCCCCCACUCCCCCGGAACCCGCCCCUCAGCCCUCACACUCCCCUUCUACCUGCCUCGGUUUGAGGUUGACUCACUCCUGUAGAUUCCCACAGUAGAUUUUGUUUGCCUUUACCAAACCACUUCUCAGCCACACAGCCUUGCAAAAUCUACCUCAGAGGAGUUGUGAGAAUCGAGUGAGUUACAUGUAAAAUGCUUAGAACCAUGCCUCGUAUGUUGUGACCACUUCAGAAGCCUCAUCUGUUGAUUACAAGACUGGCAUCACGCUCGCGUGUCUCCCUCACCUGACUACAUUCUUGAGAUCAGGGAAUAUGCCUUCUAUUUGUGUGUCCUCUGUAGUACCUGGUACAGAGAACUCAAAAACUGUCAAAGGAAUGAUUAAAUGUUGCCAAGAAGUGGUCAUAAGCUCCAUGUACGACAGUGCUUACAGGUACUUACCCGGGAACUUUAGGACAGAAUACCUAGAAUUAUUUUCAUCAGACUGCCUGAUGAUUAGCCUCAACUCUCACUUCAGCAAAUGUCUCAGAGUCUCACUCGUUUUUAAAUGAGGGUCUGAAAUAGGCUGUAGGAGUUAUGAAUUAAUACUAACUUUAAUCCUCAGAACAACUGCUAUCAGCCUGGCUAGACUUUCCCCGAACUGUUCUUUAGGACACUGGCAUCUGCCGUUUUUCUCCCCUUCACCUGGUUUCCUCAUCCAUUAAGUUCAUAUUAAGUAUCCCUUCUUAAGGAAGCUCUCCCAGAGCCUUUCCUGCUAGGUUGAGACUUUGUAUUAUGUUCACAUAACAUCCUGCGCUUCUAUUACUAAUGUAACUGACUAAACAGCUGGACUAAACCCCAUUACAGAAAUACAACUGAUAGAAAUAACUGAUUGCCCUGAGAGAAACACCAAAAAGUAUACUUUGGAAAUUUGAAGAAGUGGGAGACCUGGCUGGAGGGGUGAGGGAAGGUAGCAUGGCAGAGGCACCACUUGAGCUGGGUCUUCCUUGGGAAGAGAUGUAGGAUUUGUACAGACAAGUGACGGAGAAGGAGAUGACUCCGGGAAGCAAUACGCAGCCUCAGAGGUUGAGGGAACAGAAGGAGUGUAGCUUGCUGAGCCUUGCAGGAUCCCUGAAGGGAAAGAGUGGAAGAAAACCUUGUAAACUAGACUAGCACCAGGUCAGAGAAGGCCUGAAGAACUGCAGCUAUAUUUGGUAGGAAAUCGAGAAUCGUCUCACAUUUUCGAGCACAGAAACAUCAGAGCCCUCUCUAGAAAUAUUAAAAGCAGAUUAAAGGGAUGCAUACGGACUUAACUGAGACCCCUGAGUUACAACAGAACUUCGGGUAAGAACCCAGAAGAAGGGGAUGGGAGUAGGGCUGGAGAGGAAGGGAUGUGUGUUCGUGACAUCGGGGCUGACGGAGACGUGGUAGGUGGGGAGAGUGGGGAGAGGCGGACCUGAUCUUCAGUCCAGGUGUCCUCUGUGCACCGUAGAGAAUAGCUGCUGCAUUCUAAGCUGUAGCAACACCAAGUGUGUGGCCUUAAACGCUUAGGCAACCUCCCUUUUCUGUUGUUGGUUUCUUUGAGAGGGAACUGUCUGAGAGAAAAUGGAGCAAGAAUUAGGCCAAGUUCAAGAGUUGGGCUUCAGAAUUAGGCUAAAGGAGAGAUUCCCCGCGUCGCUAAUCCCAGCACUUUGGGAGGCUGAGGUGGGUGGAUCACCUGAGGUCAGGACUUUGAGACCAGCCUGGCCAACGUGGUAAAACCCCAACUUUACUAAAAGUACAAAAAAAUAGCCGGGCGUGGUGGC
rnacentral:lncRNA from 1 species